rnacentral:rRNA from 1 species
UACAGAGGUGGCAAGCGUUGUUCGGAAUUACUGGGCGUAAAGGGCGCGUAGGCGGCCUUCUAAGUCAGACGUGAAAUCCCCCGGCUUAACCUGGGAACUGCGUCUGAUACUGGGAGGCUUGAGUAUGGGAGAGGGAUGUAGAAUUCCAGGUGUAGCGGUGAAAUGCGUAGAUAUCUGGAGGAAUACCGGUGGCGAAGGCGGCAUCCUGGACCAUUACUGACGCUGAGGCGCGAAAGCUAGGGGAGCGAACGGG